rnacentral:lncRNA from 1 species
GAAGAAGAUGUUAAAGACUUUAAGCAACCAUCACAGUAAUGGAUUUCGGUCACAAAAAUGAGACUGAAAUUGAAAAUAGUGAAAAUUAUGAAAUUCAAAGCACAGAAGAAACUGAAUUAAUCUAUACUUGUCCAGAUGAAAGAAGUGAAAAGAAUCAUGUUGGUUGUCUUCUCAAUAUCAGUGACGUUACACUUGAACAAGAUAAAACAGCCGAAGAGUUUGUCAUUGGAACUGGAUGGGAAGAAGCAGUCCGAGGCUGGGGGCAGAUAUCUCCAACUGCCUGCAUCUGGCCCAGGAAGAAGCUUAAGAAGGCGAGGGUGGGAGAAAGUGCCAGCAGCUGCUUACUCUGUGUCAAUCUCUCCCAUGGGAGCCUGGAGGCCAGGCCUCCAGCUGAGGCAGGCCCAGAGAAGGAUGGAGGCAGCCUCUCCCAGACGCCGGGCACCCCCCCAGGCCCCACUACAACCUCCAGGGAAGUUAACAAAAUCUGCUUUCCCACCUACAGUCAGGGAGAGAAGAAAAGUCUGCAAAUAAAGGAGUUCAUUUGGUGCCUGGAAGACUGGGCCACCCCGGAGACUGUUAGGGGCAAGGACCCCAGAAGGCCCUGGAGAGGCACUGACAGAAUUCUCCCCUCCUCAGACUCCCUGACUUCCAAAGCCCUUUUAGUCCUCCCUCCCUUGAAGUCUUCGCCCCCAGAUGGCUUGGAUGUUCUGGGUAAGAAGACUAAGAACUUUUUCUUGCGGCCAGAAGAGAAGGGGCUGAGUGUGGAAAAGGAUGAGUGUGUGGCUUAUGCCUAUGGAGUGAAAGCCGUUGACGGGGCAGGCGAAAAGCAGCCCACUGAGCUGGCCAGGCACCACAAAGUCAAGGACAUGCAGCCUUUCCUCACUCCGGUGGCCCGGAUGCCCCUGCUGGCCGAGCCUGAGCCCUGCUGCCUGCACUGGUCCCUCCUGCCUGAGAAAAACCUGCUGUGCCCUCCCUGCUAUCUUGCCACCUUCCAGCUUUUGCAGAAACAAGGAGCGAGGAACUACAAAGCCAGACUCAAAGCCAGGGAGCCCAGGCCUCCCAUGAAAACCCCAAAGCGCGUCCUCACAGAGGCCAAGCAGGAAAACAGGCCCCAAAUGUUGGAGACCAAAGUGUUCUCAAGACCUCUCUUGCCGUCCCUCACAGUGAGCAGAGUUGUUAUUCCCAUUUCCACUCACAGACUCCUUUGA